AUUUACAAGCCAUAAUUUGUUACAUGUAGUAUGUUCAAAUUCUCUCCAAGCAUCAUGAGAUAACCCAAAUUAUUACUGCUACUAUCAUGAUUAAUUAC